rnacentral:rRNA from 1 species
GCCAGACUCCUACGGGAGGCAGCAGUGGGGGAUAUUGCACAAUGGGGGAAACCCUGAUGCAGCGACGCCGCGUGAGUGAAGAAGUAAUUCGUUAUGUAAAGCUCUCUCAGCAGGGAAGAAAAUGACGGUACCUGACUAAGAAGCCCCGGCUAACUACGUGCCAGCAGCCGCGGUAAUACGUAGGGGGCAAGCGUUAUCCGGAUUUACUGGGUGUAAAGGGAGCGUAGGCGGUGCAGCAAGUCAGAAGUGAAAGCCCGGGGCUCAACGCCGGGACUGCUUUUGAAACUGUUGAACUAGAUUGCAGGAGAGGUAAGUGGAAUUCCUAGUGUAGCGGUGAAAUGCGUAGAUAUUAGGAGGAACACCAGUGGCGAAGGCGGCUUACUGGACUGUAAAUGACGCUGAGGCUCGAAAGCGUGGGGAGCAAACAGGAUUAGAUACCCGCGUAGG